UGUGUAAGGUGUGUGUGAGGUGUGUGUAAGGUGUACCAGGUGUGUGUAAGGUGUGUGUAAGGUGUGUGUAAGGUGUACCAGGUGUGUGUAAGGUGUACCAGGUGUGUGUGAGGUGUGUGUAAGGUGUACCAGGUGUGUGUAAGGUGUGUGUAAGGUGUACCAGGUGUGUGUAAGGUGUGUGUAAGGUGUACCAGGUGUUUAUUAAGAGUUAUCAGCUGAUGCAGCGUCACAGUGUCUGUCUACCUGCUCAUUACAGGAUAACACGUCAUUA